AAAGAAUUUAAUAUAUUAAUAACAUACAUAUUUUCUUUUACAAGUAGUUGGCAACGCGGGUGCAAUUGUGUAGAAAAUGUAUGAUGAAAACAUAUAUAACAUCAGGAUUUUUGUAGCUGGAAAUGUUAGUUAAGCUUUAACAAAUGAGAGUAAAGUUUACAAUCGAAGAUGACAAAAGUGAUACGUAUUCAAGCCAAAGAAAAUAGGAAACAAUAUUCUUUAGAAACCCUACUGUUUCUCACACUGUCAUCUAGUAGACGGAAAGGUAUUCACAGUGAAGAAUUUGAGUUAGAUGAAUGAACUAUCAGAGGAAUUGAAAAAUCUGCUUUAGGAAUAUAUAAAUAAGUCCAACAAAUAUACCACAAAAGAUAUUAUUA